UCUCCGUUGGUGAACCAGCGGAGGGAUCAUUACCGAGUGCAAACUCAUAACCCUUUGUGAACCUAUAUCUGUUGCUUCGGCGGCUCGCUGUCGGGCGAGCCCGCCGGUAACAUCAGUAACUCUGUUUGUACCCGACGAUACUUCUGAGUGUUCUUAGUGAACAGUUAAAACUUUUAACAACGGAUCUCUUGGCUCUC
rnacentral:misc_RNA from 1 species